rnacentral:tRNA from 12 species
UAGAGCUGGGGAGGGGGUUCGAUUCCUCUUCCU